rnacentral:rRNA from 1 species
UACAGAGGUCUCAAGCGUUGUUCGGAUUCUUUGGGCGUAAAGGGUGCGUAGGCGGCGCGGUAAGUCGGGUGUGAAAUCUCGGAGCUUAACUCCGAAACUGCAUUCGAUACUGCCGUGCUUGAGGACUGGAGAGGAGACUGGAAUUUACGGUGUAGCGGUGAAAUGCGUAGAUAUCGUAAGGAAGACCAGUGGCGAAGGCGGGUCUCUGGACAGUUCCUGACGCUGAGGCACGAAGGUCAGGGGAGCAAACGGG